rnacentral:rRNA from 1 species
GACGAACGCUGGCGGCGUGCUUAACACAUGCAAGUCGAACGGACAGGCCCUGCUUUUGUGGGGUGCUCGAGUGGCGAACGGGUGAGUAACCCGUGAGUAACCUGCCCUUGACUUUGGGAUAACUUCAGGCAACUGGGGCUAAUACCGGAUAGGAGCUCCUGCUGCAUGGUGGGGGUUGGAAAGUUUCGGCGGUUGGGGAUGGACUCGCGGCUUAUCAGCUUGUUGGUGGGGUAGUGGCUUACCAAGGCUUUGACGGGUAGCCGGCCUGAGAGGGUGACCGGCCACAUUGGGACUGAGAUACGGCCCAGACUCCUACGGGAGGCAGCAGUGGGGAAGAUUGCACAAUGGGCGGAAGCCUGAUGCAGCAACGCCGCGUGCGGGAUGACGGCCUUCGGGUUGGAAACCGCUUUCGCCUGUGACGAAGCGUGAGUGACGGUAAUGGGUAAAGAAGCACCGGCUAACUACGUG